rnacentral:rRNA from 1 species
GAUAAACGCUGGCGGCGCACAUAAGACAUGCAAGUCGAACGAAAGUCGUUAUAAAAUGGAUUGAAGAUUUAUCGGAAAGAAAUUUUAUAACAAUGGCUUUAGUGGCGGACUGGUGAGUAACACGUAAGCAAUCUGCCUAUUAGAGGGGAAUAACAGUGAGAAAUCACUGCUAAUACCGCAUAAGCUUGUAGUAACGCAUGUUACAGCAAGAAAAGGAGUAAUCCGCUAAUAGAUGAGCUUGCGGCUGAUUAGCUAGUUGGUUAGGUAAUGGCUGACCAAGGCGACGAUCAGUAGCCGAGCUGAGAGGCUCUACGGCCACAUUGGGACUGAGAUACGGCCCAGACUCCUACGGAGGCAGCAGUCGGGAAUAUUGCACAAUGGGCGAAAGCCUGAUGCAGCGACGCCGCGUGAGCGAAGAAGUAUUUCGGUAUGUAAAGCUCUAUCAGCAGGGAA